UACGUAGGGGGCGAGCGUUGUCCGAAGUUACUGGGCGUAAAGCGCGCGUAGGCGGUCUCUUAAGUCCGGGGUGAAAGGUUCAGCGCUCAACGCGAACAGUGCCCUGGAGACUGGGGGGACUUGAGUGUGGGAGGGGGCAGUGGAAUUCCGGGUGUAGCGGUGAAAUGCGUAGAUAUCCGGAGGAACACCGAUGGCGAAGGCAGCUGCCUGGCCUGACACUGACGCUGAGGUGCGAAAGCGUGGGGAGCGAACGGG
rnacentral:rRNA from 1 species